rnacentral:misc_RNA from 1 species
GAUGAAGAACGUAGCGAAAUGCGAUAGGUAAUGUGAAUUGCAGAAUUCAGUGAAUCAUCGAAUCUUUGAACGCACCUUGCGCCCUUUGGCUAUUCCAGAGGGCAUGCCUGUUUGAGUAUCAUGAACACCUCAACUCUCAUGGUUCUGCCAUGAUGAGCUUGGACUUUGGAGGUCUUGCUGGCCCCUGUGGUCAGCUCCUCUCAAAUGGAUCAGCUUGCCAGUGUUUGGUGGCAUCACAGGUGUGAUAACUAUCUACGCUUGUGGUUUUCCACCAGGUAACCUUCAGUGAUGGAGGUUCGCUGGAGCUCAUAAACGUCUCUCCUCAGCGAGGACAGCUUCUUGAACGUUUGAUCUCAAAUCAGGUAGGGCUACCCGCUGAACUUAAGCAUAUCAAUAAGCGGAGGA